rnacentral:rRNA from 1 species
AUUGAACGCUGGCGGCAUGCUUUACACAUGCAAGUCGAACGGCAGCGCGGGCUUCGGCCUGGCGGCGAGUGGCGAACGGGUGAGUAAUAUAUCGGAACGUGCCCAAGAGUGGGGGAUAACGUAGCGAAAGUUACGCUAAUACCGCAUACGAUCCAAGGAUGAAAGCAGGGGACCUUCGGGCCUUGUGCUCCUGGAGCGGCCGAUAUCUGAUUAGCUAGUUGGUGAGGUAAAGGCUCACCAAGGCGACGAUCAGUAGCUGGUCUGAGAGGACGACCAG